UAUAUAGUUGUGUGCCUUGAUCGUCUUGUC
rnacentral:piRNA from 1 species